UACGGGGGGAGCAAGCGUUGUUCGGAUUUACUGGGCGUAAAGGGCGCGUAGGCGGUCAGCACAAGUCAGUUGUGAAAUCUCCGGGCUUAACUCGGAAAGGUCAACUGAUACUGUGCGACUAGAGUGCGGAAGGGGCAACUGGAAUUCUCGGUGUAGCGGUGAAAUGCGUAGAGAUCGUAAGGAAGACCAGUGGCGAAGGCGGGUCUCUGGACAGUUCCUGACACUGAGGCACGAAGGCCAGGGGAGCAAACGGG
rnacentral:rRNA from 1 species